rnacentral:lncRNA from 1 species
AGGAAAUGAUACAGAUGGUGAUUUCACAAGUGAAGAAAUCAAUAGUGAGGUAAUAUCAACAAAAAUAACAAACACAUUAUUUUAAACACUACCAUCCUCAUACUAAAGCUGGAUCCAAGAAAAUUGCAGACCUGCGGGAGAUGAAAUCCAUCACCGAAUCAAUUGCACAGACCACAACAUCAACGGCACCGUGCAGAUCAACCAUCUCGCCUCCUAACUGGCGCACCAGAUCCCCAUUUACCAACCUACAGGAGGUGUAUGAGGAGGAAAACUAGCCGCCGUCGAUGGGCGCCCUGUGGAAGCACCAGAUGCGGGGGUGGCUUCAGGAUAGGAGGAAUGUAGAUGGGAACUAUCCAGCAGUAGCAAAUUUUCACUGAGAAGAAAAGAAGGAAAGAAGAAAGGGGAUCGGCCAAAAACAUUCUCACUUGUGUGAAGAAAGAACGGCCGGAGAAGUCUAGAAGACUACAGAAUGGAUAAGUGAAGAGUAAUGCUGGUGGGACCCAUGAGACCACUUACGUACUAUGGAAACUUUGUUUUUCAGAGCAACGUACUGUACAAACUGUGAGGAAACAAUCUAACGUCAAAAUGUAAGGCGCCCUUGGUACUGUUGGGUGUACGUGUACGGAAGCAAACAAACAAUAGCAGUAAUCACUCCAUUUCAUAUUAGUACACCCUAAAAAAUCUACUCACUCCAUUUCUAAAUAUAAGUCUACCAAUUCCACUAAGGACUACAUAUGAAGCAACAUGAGUUAAUCUACACUAUAAAAUAUGUCUAUAUACAUAUGUAUGUAGUUCGUAUCAAAAUAUAUAAAAAGACUUAAAU